UUGGUUUGUCAGGUCGGUUUGGGUUUGAGAGGCGGUUAUACGGAAGUAAGCACACACCACACAGGCACGGCGGUAGCAGUCCAAUCCCUGAAUCCCACCGCUCAAUCUGAAUCCCCAUCCUCUGGACGCGCCGGAGCCUUGAGGAGCGGACGGUGCCGGAGCUACAGGAAGCCGCCGCAGCCCUCGCCGUGUAUCGCGCCGCCGGAUGAGGACGUGCUGCAGCGCACGUCGCUGGACGGGUCGUCCGCCGCUAUAGAGCUAGGUCUCCUACCUCAACCCUGCCAAGAUCGAGAAGACCCUGCCAAGAUUGAUAAGGCCAGACAAAGGCCACGGUAUGGCUGUCUUCCCCGGUGAUGCAGUUCAUUGACUACUGCUUUGAGGCACUGAAAGCGAAAACUUUAAAAGGACUGCACAUUAUUUUGGAACAGUGAUUAGGAUUACAACUGCAAGAUACACGCUGAACAUGUUUCAGUGUGAUUUUGGUACUUCGAAAUAGUUUGCAAGACAAGCUUAGUUCAAAAUUCAGUCCACCUGCCGUCAUAAUUCUUUUCAUAGAGGAUGCAUGGCAUGGUUCUGUGUGACGUAGGAGUGGAUCAUCUAAGUGCACCUGGAAUCUUGAGUAUAUUAUGUAUUAUGGCUGAAUUAUGAUCUAUAUCAGUGCACUUGUAAUCGUAACUAAUGGUGCACUCUACUUCUCCACAUGAUUUCGGUGCAUCUACCAUGGUGUUAGAGCAUCCACGGCGCAAGGCGCAAGGCGUGUACCCAGACGCUGAAGCAAUUAGUAUAAAUAGAACAAAAUUAAUUAUGUAGCGAAGUGCGCAUCACUGCAGCGCUGGGCUCUUAUUUGCGGCCCUAAUUCGCCUAUGUGCCCACACCACAAGGGAAAGUAAGAUAACACCGAGUGCCAUCUUUUGUGUCGACGUCGGCUGCUUUUAGAGGCUUGUGAUAGUUUACUGAUUCACAUGUUCCGUGUGCAAUGAAUCGGGAGAGUCCGUUGUUAUGUUGGGCUACCAUGAUGUUAA